rnacentral:rRNA from 1 species
AUUGAACGCUGGCGGCAGGCCUAACACAUGCAAGUCGAACGAGUGGCGGACGGGUGAGUAAUGUCUGGGGAACUGCCCGAUGGAGGGGGAUAACUACUGGAAACGGUAGCUAAUACCGCAUACCAUCGGAUGUGCCCAGCUGGGAUUAGCUAGUAGGUGGGGUCACGGCUCACCUAGGCGACGAUCCCUAGCUGGUCUGAGAGGAUGACCAGCCACACUGGAACUGUGACCCGGUCCGAACUCCUCCGGGAGGCAGCAGUGGGGAAUAUUGCACAAGGGGCGCAAGCCUGAUGCAGCCAUGCCGCGUGUAUGAAGAGGGCCUUCGGGUUGUAAGGUACUUUCAGCGGGGAGGCGUUACUCGCAGAAGAAGCACCGGCUAACUCCGUGCCAGCAGCCGCGGUAAUUC